CCAGGAAGAAAGAAAACGGACUCUGACCUUUACUGGGUCAUUUCCAAAUCACCGCCCAGCAGGGGCCUGAACAGCCCGUGUUCUCCAUGUUCCGCCUGUGUACCAUGAGCACUAGAUUUUGUAGAUCCCCACAUGUCAAAGUCACAAAAACCUCAAAAUCUGGAGGUGACUGACUGGGAAGGCAAGAACUGACGCCCAGACUGAUGGAGACAGACGCACACGUUCCCAGCCUUGCGGAGCCGUCUAACCUCCCAGGGACUUGAUUAAAAGGUUGCUGCUGUGCCCGUGGCUGGCCCACUGUGCCGCGUGUGGCACCACCUUCCCGGGAAGGACUCUUCCUCUUCAGAACAAUGGGCAGGUGGUAAUUAGUGAGAUGCUAAUAGAGGUUUGGGCGGGGUGAGAGUUCACCUGGGCUCUCCGGAGGCUUUUGCAUCACACUUAAUGACACCCCCCCUUCCUCUGUCUUCUGCAAUUUUUUUGAACUGUAAUUAUUUUAAUUGAGAUCUUCCCCUAAUAAAAACAAAGAGCACAGCCUGGAGCCCUGUCUUCUGGGGCCUGCAGAAGCUGCCGUAGCCUCCUUGCUGGCUUUGGAGACCCAAAGCCUCUGAAAGUUUCCACCUCUGUCUCAAGCUCCCUGUUAGGAGUGUGUGUGUGCAUGUAUGUGUGAGUAUGGUGUGCAUGUGUGUGCAUGUGUGUAGGUUGUGCAUGUGUGUGGGUAUGUGUGUAUGUGAGUGUGGUGUGUGCAUGAAUUUUUGUGAGUGUGGUAUGCAUGUGUAUGAAUGUGAGUGGUGUACAUGUGUGUGUGAGUGUGGUGUGCAUGUGUGUGACUGUGUGUAUGGUGUGCAUGUGUGUGGGUAUGUGAGUGUGCUAUGUAUGUGUGUGAGUGUACAUACGUACAUGAGUGCAUGUGUGGUGAGCAUAUGUGUGAGUGUGGUGUGUAUGGGUUUGUGUCGUCAUGUCCCUGAGCCACAGUGGACAAAUGGGAAAUGUGAUAUGUCCCAUGUGUCCUGGAUUACCACUUCUGUCCUCCAUCUCGAACUGGGGUGAGAGUUGGGGGGGUGCACGACCCUGGCUGAAUGUCUUUGGGCCUUUGUUUUCUGUCCUUUAAGAGACCAGGUUUGCCCUUCAUCUCAGUGGGACACUGAACUCUCUCCUAGGUCCUCUCAUGACUCUGUCACAGUAGUGAUCAGGUAGGAGAACAGAUCCCAAGACUUCAUUUAAACCAAGGGCCUUGUUCUAGAACUUCUGCUGUUCAAGAAUCCACAAAUCUGUUCACAGAAAUGAGAAACGCAAAGAGCAAGCGUACAGUGGGCCAGACUUCAGACUGAGCUGCAGGGUUGCGGGGAAGUGGGACUGUGGGG
ensembl:lncRNA